GAUCAUGGCUCAGGACGAACGCUGGCGGCGUGCCUAAUACAUGCAAGUUGAACGCUGAAGACUGGUACUUGUACUAGUUGGAUGAGUAGCGAACGGGUGAGUAACGCGUGGGUAACCUACCUCUUAGCGGGGACAACUAUUGGAAACGAUAGCUAAUACCGCAUAACAAUCACUAACACAUGUUAGUGAUUUGAGAGCACCAAUUGGUGCACUAAGAGAUGGACCCGNGUUGUAUUAG
rnacentral:rRNA from 1 species